rnacentral:rRNA from 1 species
GACGAACGCUGGCGGCGUGCCUAAUACAUGCAAGUAGAACGCUGAAGAGAGGAGCUUGCUCUUCUUGGAUGAGUUGCGAACGGGUGAGUAACGCGUAGGUAACCUGCCUUGUAGCGGGGGAUAACUAUUGGAAACGAUAGCUAAUACCGCAUAACAAUGGAUGACACAUGUCAUUUAUUUGAAAGGGGCAAUUGCUCCACUACAAGAUGGACCUGCGUUGUAUUAGCUAGUAGGUGAGGUAACGGCUCACCUAGGCGACGAUACAUAGCCGACCUGAGAGGGUGAUCGGCCACACUGGGACUGAGACACGGCCCAGACUCCUACGGGAGGCAGCAGUAGGGAAUCUUCGGCAAUGGGGGCAACCCUGACCGAGCAACGCCGCGUGAGUGAAGAAGGUUUUCGGAUCGUAAAGCUCUGUUGUAAGUCAAGAACGAGUGUGAGAGUGGAAAGUUCACACUGUGACGGUAGCUUACCAGAAAGGGACGGCUAACUACGUGCCAGCAGCCGCGGUAAUACGUAGGUCCCGAGCGUUGUCCGGAUUUAUUGGGCGUAAAGCGAGCGCAGGCGGUUUGAUAAGUCUGAAGUUAAAGGCUGUGGCUCAACCAUAGUUCGCUUUGGAAACUGUCAAACUUGAGUGCAGAAGGGGAGAGUGGAAUUCCAUGUGUAGCGGUGAAAUGCGUAGAUAUAUGGAGGAACACCGGUGGCGAAAGCGGCUCUCUGGUCUGUAACUGACGCUGAGGCUCGAAAGCGUGGGGAGCGAACAGGAUUAGAUACCCUGGUAGUCCACGCCGUAAACGAUGAGUGCUAGGUGUUGGAUCCUUUCCGGGAUUCAGUGCCGCAGCUAACGCAUUAAGCACUCCGCCUGGGGAGUACGACCGCAAGGUUGAAACUCAAAGGAAUUGACGGGGGCCCGCACAAGCGGUGGAGCAUGUGGUUUAAUUCGAAGCAACGCGAAGAACCUUACCAGGUCUUGACAUCCCGAUGCUAUUUCUAGAGAUAGAAAGUUACUUCGGUACAUCGGUGACAGGUGGUGCAUGGUUGUCGUCAGCUCGUGUCGUGAGUUGUUGGGUUAAGUCCCGCAACGAGCGCAACCCCUAUUGUUAGUUGCCAUCAUUCAGUUGGGCACUCUAGCGAGACUGCCGGUAAUAAACCGGAGGAAGGUGGGGAUGACGUCAAAUCAUCAUGCCCCUUAUGACCUGGGCUACACACGUGCUACAAUGGUUGGUACAACGAGUUGCGAGUCGGUGACGGCAAGCUAAUCUCUUAAAGCCAAUCUCAGUUCGGAUUGUAGGCUGCAACUCGCCUACAUGAAGUCGGAAUCGCUAGUAAUCGCGGAUCAGCACGCCGCGGUGAAUACGUUCCCGGGCCU